rnacentral:rRNA from 1 species
AUACGGAGGAUGCAAGCGUUAUCCGGAUUUAUUGGGUUUAAAGGGUGCGUAGGCGGUUUGCUAAGCGGGAGGUGAAAUGCCGGCGCUCAACGUCGGAAGUGCCUCCCGAACUGGUGGACUGGAAUGACUCUGCCGUGGGAGGAAUGUGUAGUGUAGCGGUUAAAUGCUUAGAGAUUACACAGAACACCGAUUGCGAAGGCAUCUCACGAAGGGUUGAUUGACGCUGAGGCACGAAAGCGUGGGGAUCAAACAGGAUUAGAUACCCUGGUAGUCCACGCAGUAAACGAUGAUGGCUAACCGCUGGUUUUUUCGGAUCAGUGGCCAAGCGAAAGCGAUAAGCCAUCCACCUGGGGAGUACGACCGCAAGGUUGAAACUCAAAUGAAUUGGCGGGG